rnacentral:rRNA from 1 species
AGCGAACGCUGGCGGCAGGCUUAACACAUGCAAGUCGAGCGGGCACUUUCGGGUGUCAGCGGCGGACGGGUGAGUAACGCGUGGGAACGUGCCCUCUGGUUCGGAAUAACUCAGGGAAACUUGAGCUAAUACCGGAUACGCCCUUUUGGGGAAAGGCUUGCUGCCGGAGGAUCGGCCCGCGUCUGAUUAGCUAGUUGGUGAGGUAACGGCUCACCAAGGCGACGAUCAGUAGCUGGUCUGAGAGGAUGAUCAGCCACACUGGGACUGAGACACGGCCCAGACUCCUACGGGAGGCAGCAGUGGGGAAUACUGGACAAUGGGCGCAAGCCUGAUCCAGCCAUGCCGCGUGAGUGAUCAAGGCCUUAGGGUUGUAAAGCUCUUUUAUCCGGGACGAUAAUGACGGUACCGGAGGAAUAAGCCCCGGCUAACUUCGUG